rnacentral:rRNA from 1 species
UACGUAGGGUGCGAGCGUUGCUCGGAAUCACUGGGCGUAAAGGGUGCGUAGGCGGGUCUUUAAGUCAGGGGUGAAAUCCCGGAGCUCAACUCCGGAACUGCCUUUGAAACUGCAGUGCUAGAAUCCUGGAGAGGCGAGUGGAAUUCCGAGUGUAGAGGUGAAAUUCGUAGAUAUUCGGAAGAACACCAGUGGCGAAGGCGACUCGCUGGACAGGUAUUGACGCUGAGGUGCGAAAGCGUGGGGAGCAAACAGG